rnacentral:rRNA from 1 species
CCUACGGGAGGCAGUAGUGGGGGAUAUUGCACAAUGGGGGAAACCCUGAUGCAGCGACGCCGCGUGUGGGAAGACUGUCCUCUGGAUUGUAAACCACUGUCCCCAGGGACGAAGAUGACGGUACCUGGGGAGGAAGCUCCGGCUAACUACGUGCCAGCAGCCGCGGUAAUACGUAGGGAGCGAGCGUUGUCCGGAAUUACUGGGGGUAAAGGGAGCGUAGGCGGGAAUGCAAGUUGGUGGUAAAAAGUACCGGCUCAACUGGUAGUCGCACUCAAAACUGGAGCUCUUGAGUGAAGUAGAGGCAGGCGGAAUAACUAGUGUAGCGGUGAAAUGCGUAGAUAUUAGGAGGAACCCCAGUGGCGAAGGCGGCCUGCUGGGCUUUUACUGACGCUGAGGCUCGAAAGUGUGGGGAGCAAACAGGAUUAGAUACCCUAGUAGUC